CUCGAUCACAGCGACGCUUGUGACUAAAAUUUAAAAUGUGCCGUGCUUCAAAACCACGUCUACCCCCACCGCUGACAAUUGGGCGAGUUGCAAGGCCUGCAUGUAAGACCGUGUCCGAGGGUGUAUCGUCAAGCCAGAGAACAAUGGAGCAGUGUACUGGGUUACGAUACAGAAGGUAGGCACGGCACGGUAGACAUAACAGAAGAGAAUAGAAACACAGCACGGCGCGGCAUGUCACGAAUGUUCUGCCUCGCCGGCUCCUAGUAGAAUGCGGUUGACAUUUCUCGGCAAGUAGAGCGUUACCCGCUCGACCAAUCACAGUGCCCGAUUAGAAUAUGGAAUAUUGAAAUAAGUGUCGUGCGCGUAACUCCGUUGCGAACGAUGAAAAGUGAGAUCGGUAUAAAAAGGUAGGGCAGACUGCGGCAUGAAUGAGAGAAGAAAGUAUAAUGGAGGGACGAAAUAUGUCGAUCGGAAAGAGCUGUCCAUUCGUACGAGCUCGUUGUGUCAGCAUUGUCCUGGAUACCAGAAAAAUCUACAAUGAAGACCCUACUCGAUAUGGAGUUUUGACCUCAAGGGCCAGCCAGGAAAGGUGUUUGUCCGACGCACGGCUGCUGUCUGCAUAGAAAGUGGAUGCCAUCACGUUACAUGCGAGGGUGCCGAGUUUGACAAUAUUUCACUGAAGGAUUUAAAUGCUGUUACGGAUCCACCCACUGAACGAAGGAAAAAAAUUAGACUCGUUUAAGGUCGCCCGAUCUCGACGACGCUGAACCAAAGGUCCCAAGUCUAAACGAUCCCUUGGGAAAUUAUAGGUCGAGUAUAAAUAACAGGUCUUACCUCGAUGGAAGAUUUUCGAUAACGAGUAAAGAAUCGCUCAGCACGCGAAGAUGCAUACCUACCUGUAUACGUACCCAAGUGCACGUAGCCACGUGUCUAAUGACUUCGUUUGCUGUUAAUCCUUUUUCGAAUAAUCAAGCAGACCACCGAAAAUUUAUUUGAACAAAUUCUCAAAGUUAUUAUUAUUAUUAUCCACGUUCCUGUUACGCACAGAAACAGAAGUUAAGGUAUUACUGUAUUUCUAUGCUGACUUGUUAGUUCCGUAUACUACCACUGUCACUGUCGCUACAUGCAAAUGACGUAUGAACCGUCAUUCGGGGUUCGAACCGCGACGAUACUCCCCGCUCAUGCAGCAGAUCAGUAUCUGAUAUUUAUUUAUGUGAAUAGUACCCUCGCAUACAAAUCAAACAAAUACUAAGUGUGCUCAGAGACUCAAGCCUACCGUGACACUGCCCUGGGCUCGGUUCAGUUGCCACGCGAAAUUACAUGGCGCUAAGGAUAACACUACCGACGAAUACAGAUCUUCUCCCGGAGCAUAAGGAGGCUUCUUGACAAUUAUAAAUAAAAAUAAUAUUGGACUCGGUCAAUUGUUACGAAACAGCUGAAUUUUCAUGCCUGGGUUCUUAAAGCGAUGAAAAAAUGUUCAUUCCAGGAAUUACGUAAAACUUAUAGGUUAAUCGGUACUUUUCAAGCUGUGAAUAUUAAGGGAGAAAGCAGUAUAGGCAACAGAGUCCACAGAAGGAUAUACGUAGGUAUAUCGUAAAGGAUCAACACGUAGUAUACGUACGUUGACGUCGAGCAGUCGAGUAGCUGGGUUAGCAACCUUUAUUUGCAUACCGUAUUAUUUUCUGCUUGCAAAGCUGCACAACCGUCCCGAUCAGAAGGUAGGUUACCUAUAGAAGGUAGAGGCUAAGUCUGCUGCACGAUGCAUCUGAAAGAGUCCCGUCAUCGGCAUUGCUGUUACGCCAGCAACCAUCUAGCCGUUGUCCACGAAGUUCAGCCGUUCUUACCUGCACGUAAAUAUUCUCCUCGCCGUCGGCCAUCAUCCUGGAGACAUCGUAUUGUGGAUCCUCCUUCUAGCAAUCGACCAAGGGUACCCAUAACCUUAAAGGACUGCCUAUUGAUUGCCAUACCUUAUACAGCAUCCAUGGAGUACCCUUUACACCCAUCCCAAGAGGAUUCCACAGAAUAUAUUUCUUUUAUUUGGACUAAUAUGGCGCGAGGAUGCGGUACUUUCGUGAAGGACAUUACCAUUUAAGGGACACGGAUGCAUGUAAGCUACUUUACCGAUUACCUAACUGAUAUCAAGGAUUGACUUUACAUUGAUGCACCGUCCAAGUCUUGACCUAAAGUAGCGCUAAGGAGGUCCAGCAAUUCUCAAGUUAUCCAGUACCUUGUAAAAAAUACAUAUUUCUGUCAUUGUGCCAGAUGCAAUUAAUUGAAACGAUCGGAGUAAGCAGAUUAAUUAAAAGAGCCAGGGAGGGCAUACAAAAAAACGAAGAAUCAUAAACAUAAAUUACAAAAAGUCUGAGGCCGCGGGUCAAGCAUUCAUUUCGCUCAUCAGGCAUUCUCAUAUAAGUUAGAAAGUUCUACUAAAAAUAUUAAACGACUCUUAACGAAAGCAACGUUCACGGAAGUAACGACGUUCAAGAAAUUUUCAACGAUUCGUUUACGGAAGACGGUACUCUGACGUUUACAAUCGAUGAAAAAGAGAAUUGAUUUGACUGUCGAACAUGCAAGGUAAAUACCUUGACUGUAUAGUUCAAUGCCAUCGAGUCAUCGGAAGGCGUUUGAUUCAUUCAAUAUUUGUAAUCAAUAUACCGUCAUCGAUCAAAAAUUAGACAACUGAUUCCAAAGAGAAUUCCUUUCGUUAGCCCGAGGGUAGGUAUCGAACCCUCUUCUAAACGUGAACGAAAUUUCUCACACCUUCCAUAUCUCUUGGUGCGAACGCUUUCUAACGAACGUUAACAGGCCGCGCGAGUGUAUCAUUAAUUACCGUGUGGUGAGAGACGUGAAAUCAUGCUUAAUAGACACUAGACUCGGAGUUCGCAACACGUCGAUUCCGCGUGGAUAAAUAUUUAUACCACCGCAACGAAUACUAUUUAUUAUUAAUGAACCCGUCUCGAAUCGUAGAAUUAUUUACUUCCGUCAUUCGCUGCAUGGCCAUCGAUUGUACUUGGUUAUUCUUGAAUUACAAUAUAACGAUGAUCAUAACAAUAACAAUUGGCACCUCAGUUGUUCAAUAUGGCAUACAGAUACGUGAAUUAUCCUGGUUAAUAUUCGGCAACGCUAUUAGUACCAGCACUAGCGUGCUGUACUGAUGUACAUUACGCAUAGAGUUAUUCAGUAAAAACGCACCACCUGAAUAUGGUUCUACCAUAGAAAUUAAAUGGACGGGCUAACUUCAGGUGGUGCGUUUCUACUGAAUAACCCUGUACAGAGAUAGCAGGGUACAUUUAGUAGGAAAUAAAUUAAAAUUUUGAUCUCGGUUAAUUAUACCUGCUACAGUGGCCUCUUCCGUGAGUUUGGCAUUACCGACGGCAGUGACGGAUUCAUAUUCACAGCAGCUGAGUCUCUAAUUACCAUCCGAGAUAUUACUUAUCUAAGUCCGCGUAUCAUUAGUAUCAAUGAAAUAGUACUGGAUGACUGUAUAAAAGUUACAAGAAUGUUAAUAACAUUCUACCAUUAGACGCUGUCGUGUAUAUUAAAUGUACCAAGGUGAAUCUAUCUUUAAAAAUUCGCUACUGCACCGGACUAGGCCUUACUGCGUGUAUCAAAUGACGAUCUUGGUCGAUCUAACUUGUAAGUAGAAACUGACCUUAAGACAUUAAUCGAAUACAAAUCAUUAAAUUAUCAUUAAUACCAAUCCACAGGAUGUAUAUAAAUACGGACGCUCGAGACUAACUGUAAUACUUCACGCAGUCAUUUUUCUCAUGCUUCUCUUGCAGGGUCAAGAAGUCAACGAGCGUAGAAAGAAAUUGGAAAAUGGCACUGGCCAGGAAUUACGACAGCCACGCAACGUACAAAAUGGUAGUAAUAACGCGAAUCGAUAGAAAUCCUCGUGGCACAGUAGCUGUAUCCUCGAAGCAACGUUAAACCGCGACACGUAUGAUUUUCUCACGUGGACCAAAUCUCAUUGCUCAAGAAUGAAAAAGUCCGGUAGACCAGACUAACUGGAUUUCCGAGGAGCUAAGUUAGACGUGGAAAAACGUGCAACAAGUAAAUAUCCAGCCGGACGGGACGCCAAGCCAGGUCCUUGGUGCCCGGGCUCUUAUGAUCUGUGUAAGACAUCGCCGUCUUAUAUGCAGUGGGAGUCGCGUGUACCGUUACUAUGGUUGGUUAGGUUGGUGGAUGCUGGGAGUACGAAGGGCUCGCAUGCAGAACUUGUUGCAUCCCUCGAGGCAAGAGCCGUGCAUGUCAAGGCGUCAUUAAUCAACGUUAUAUUUCAGCUGUUUUCCAAGCAGUCGAGACAUUCACGAGCAGUCGGGUCCCAGGACGCAAGUGAGCCAUUGUAAUCGCGUUAGCAAGUACUCGCUGCAACAUCAUCAUUUCACGUAGGAUUUACGAAUCUCCAGCUCUUCUCCAGGUCUCCUACCUGAAGGAACUUCAACGAAAUCGACUCUUCCUCCUGGGUAUAUAUCCCGGUUGAAAUAACUUUCCUCUUCUCUGAUCCCAAUGGACUUUAUCCCAUAAGUCAGAGUCCUGUGAUAUCAUUGUAGCGU